GGGGCUGAUUCUGGAUUCGACGGGAUUUGCGAAACCCAAGGUGCAUGCCGAGGAGCGGUUGGCCUCGUAAAAAGCCGCAAAAAAUAGUCGCAAACGACGAAAACUACGCUUUAGCAGCUUAAUAACCUGCUUAGAGCCCUCUCUCCCUAGCCUCCGCUCUUAGGACGGGGAUCAAGAGAGGUCAAACCCAAAAGAGAUCGCGUGGAAGCCCUGCCUGGGGUUGAAGCGUUAAAACUUAAUCAGGCUAGUUUGUUAGUGGCGUGUCCGUCCGCAGCUGGCAAGCGAAUGUAAAGACUGACUAAGCAUGUAGUACCGAGGACGUAGGAAUUUCGGACGCGGGUUCAACUCCCGCCAGCUCCACCA
rnacentral:tmRNA from 1 species